rnacentral:misc_RNA from 1 species
UUUCCGUAGGUGAACCUGCGGAAGGAUCAUUACAGUGUUCUCUGCCCUCACGGGUAGAAACGCCCACCCUUGUGUAUUAUAUCUUUGUUGCUUUGGCAGGCCGCCCUCGGGCACCGGCUCCGGCUGGAUCGCGCCUGCCAGAGGAAACCCAAACUCUGAAUGUUAGUGUCGUCUGAGUACUAUCUAAUAGUUAAAACUUUCAACAACGGAUCUCUUGGUUCUGGAAUCGAUGAAGAACGCAGC